CCGGGCCCUGGACCUGCUUCUGCAGCCCCACGUCACAGCCACAACCGCACCGACUGGUUGUCUCGCGGAGCACUGGGAACAGGCUCCCGGUCCCGGUUCUGCCUGAGUCGGUCCCGGGACCUUCCUGUGCGUCUGUCCGAGGCAGAGAUUUCUCCCUGCCUGGGACGCCGGCAGCGCGUUCCUCCCCUCCCGGGACCAGCGGGGACUGAGCCCUGCGCUCGCGGCCGCGCCCCGAGGAGUGGAACUCCCGCACAGCGCGGGGCUCAGGCCGCGGCAGACAGUGGUCGCCACCUUCCUUCAGAGGACCCGGGCCCUCCCGUCUCCUCUUCCGAGAGCGCAGAGCGCGUCGGCUCGGGCCUGGGGCGGGGCCCGGCGGGCGCACUCGCCGGACCGGAGAGAAGCGGACGGCUGCCCCAGGGCGCCGGACAAGGCCUCACAGGGACAAGUUCUCCGCAAAGGGGCGGUGGGAGCGGCUCCUCAGGCACAACCCGCCUCGGCCCGGGGUCUGGGCUCUGAAACCGCCGGUGUUCUGAUAGCACGGUCCUUCCGGUGCCAGAGAGCUGGCUGGACGGGACCCUCCGUCCGCCUCACGUCACCGCAUUCUACCAGACGUGCUGCUGAGGGCUCAUCGAGCCGGACCCAGUCUGGUGUUUGGGGCUGGGCCAGCGCCCUCACUGUUAACUGCUGGCGCUCCUGCGCUCUCGGAACACAGCGCGAAGGGCUGCGCCCUUGUCGAUUUUCCCUCUUCCAGGAAAUGAGUGCAGGAUCCACGGUGAAGCACCCAGGACGGGUGGCCUGCGAUGCAGAAGGGCUGAAGGCGUUCUGGGAGAAGAAGGUCCGGCUGCACGCACAGCAGCUGCAGAGCGAGGACGAGCGUGUUCGCAGGAGCGCCCUGGACAGCCUUCCUGUCACAGUUGGAGGCACUCUCCACCGGGAACAGCCCCAUUAACUCAGCGUCUAGUCCCAGCAUUGAGCUCCGUGGAGAAUGGGCUCAGAAGCUGGAGCUGAGGCACAGGAUGCUGCAGGCGCACCGGAAGUCCGCCCCACAGUCGUCCCUUCUGGGCACUAAGUCCUUCUGCACUGGAGACAAGACCGCAGCCUGAGUCCUGCAUAGAGCAGGGACGCACCGUGCCUGGCUCCCCAAGAAGGAAUGGCCCGUGGGGGCUGCACGUGGGGGCUGCCUGCAGCGCCACUGCACCCAUGGCAGGCUCCACGGGUGCGCUCACCCUGCUUCGCCCUGGUUGCAUGGGGUGCCAUUGGGUUUGCUUUUCCAGCACAAAGUAUGUGCCCAAUAAAACCCAAGGUAAUUGGA